GAAAACAUCGUGAUCGAAAACUGGAGAAUCUGGUUACAGUGCUCGCAACGAAAUCGUGUAAGGCUUGAAUCAUGUAGCUAGUUACAAAAGAUGUGUAAUAAAUCAAUUCCAGUUUGGAUUCUGGGCUAGAAACGCUCGCCAGUAUUCCAAGUUUGUUGUAAAUGGGCACCCACCAAAAACUUGAGGCAAUUACAUAGUAUGUUUCAGCUUUAGACUAACUUGAUCUACUUUAUAUGCUUUAUGGAAAACGGUUCAAUUUAUAACUUGUGAUGAUGUGGAACAUUGUUAUUUUCAUUGCAGCAAGGGCGAAUAUGAGACAAGCAUUCCAGGAUAUACAAAACACUGUUACACAUGAUGGAUUUAUGGAGGAACACAUCAAAUAAUCCAGGAGCUGUGAAUUAUAAAUAUGGAUGACUGCAAAAGCAAAGAAGAAGAUAAUGAAACAAACUGAAAAAGUGUACACGUUUCCAGAAUUAUUAAUAAAAUUGUUGAUUACAA